ACAACACAAACCAAACCCUUGCCCUUCCUGUGGCAUAGGCUAAUGGCUAAGACUAUAACUGGUUGGCAAGGUUGAAAUCUUCUCUGUUUCUUAUCUAUGGCUGACGGUCAUCUGGAUGGCGACUUCCUUGUCCUCCCAGCACUUGAGUUCCUCUGUGAGUAAAGAGGUGUUGGGGCCUAGGUAUGAUAUGACCACUGAGCACCAUGUAGAGCAGGUUGCUAUGUUGACCUACAGAAUGCUUGACCCAGUAGUCAUGGCAACAUAAUAAGCAGGGUGAACAGUGGCACUGGGUUUAUGGCCAUGGCAAAGGGGAUGAUGAUACUUAACAUCAAAGAGAGGAAGGGCAUGACAGGACUGUCACCUGGAUUCCAGCCAUUACUCCUUCCUGCCCUGACGCCCCAGCUGCAUGUGAUCUCGGAGGGUGUAUAUAGCAGGCAACCUCUGUGGAAGUCAUUCAACUCCAAAGGGUCAUGACCCACAGGUUGAAAAUCACAACCUACCAGUUAAGAGGAAAUCUAGAAAGCUGAAGAACACAGUAAGUAAUGGUACGACGUCUCACUCCAGAAUGUGAGGCAUCCUGCAAGGCAGAGGCCCUGGUUUGUUUAACAAAUCAAUGGUAUGGAAAAAGAAAAGAAAGACCAAGGGGCUGGAACUUUUCUUUUCUUCUCUUUUCUUUUCUUUUCUUUUCUUUCCUUAUUAAAACUUCACUUGCUGUGAAUAUGAGUGAAAUAACAGAAAUCUUGGGUCGAGGUCAUAACUCUGUAAUUGCGUUAUCUAUUGAGUAAGGGGUGCCUGGGUUUUCACCACGCCUCUGGCUGUAUUGUGUACCUCUUAAGAUUUUGAUGGUAAAACAUUCAACAAUAACAGAAAAGUUCACGACCACAACUUUUGCUGGUGUCCACAGCUGAUGUGGACAGUGCCAUACAGGCUUUGGUCAGAAUGGCUUCCAGAGUGAUCCAGGAGUCUCUGUGAGCUGACGAGCUGGCAUGAGGUGGCAACUCUGAGAUACCUCAAGACACCACCACAAUUCAUGCUUCUACCUAGUACAGCAGACAAGAUGAGCCAUACAUGAAAAGACAGCAUAUGGUCGGUUUUGCGUGUCAACUUGACACAGGCUGGAGUUAUCACAAAGAAAGGAGCCUCCCUUGAGGAAAUGCCGCCAUGAGAUCCAGCUGUAAGGCAUUUUCUCAAUUAGUGAUGGGCGGGGGGCAUUGUGAGUGGUGUCAUCCCUGGGCUGGUGGUCCUGGGUUCUGUAAGAGAGCAAGCCAGUAAGCAGCACCUCUCCAUGGCCUCUGCAUCAGCUCCUGCCUCCAAGUUCCUACCCUGUGUGAGUUCCAGUCCUGACUUCCUUUGGUGAUGAACAGCAAUGUGGAAGUGUAAGCUGAAUAAACCCUUUCCUCCCCA